GUCAGACGGUUAAGGUUUCUCUUUCAAUGAAGUAAUUUUUUAAAGGCUAAGUGCUGGAUGUGAACUAUGGAUUGCAUUUUCCUAAGUUGCCUUGAGUUGCCAUGGCAACAUUUUAAAAUGGUGGUGGCUGUGGCUUGACACCAACUACAUUCUUGUGCAUAAGUGAAGCCCCCCACCCCCCCUGCUCUCCUCCUCCACAAGAUCAUAAUGGAGUGUUUUAACCGAGCAGACCUUUUGUACUCGAUAAAAUAUUUAGUGGGUUGUAGUAAAUAUUCAUUUGUCUUCCUUUCACAACAUUACACAUCUCUUGAUUAUUAACAGUUCUGCGGCAUGUGUCUGUGUUUUGGGCAGGGGGGACGUCAGAGAAGAAUUUUUAUCUUUCAUGAACAAACCAGCUCAUUAAAACGAGAUCUGCUAAUCAGCCAGAUGGCCUCGUGAUAGUGUAAAUAUUGGUUGUUUAAUUGGCUGACCUGCUUGACACUUUCUUCCUUUAAAAAGAUCAAAUGGUAGAUAAUAAUUUAUGCAUCUCAAGAAUAUGAUUUCCUGGUUUCAUCCAUAUUUCAGUGGCAAAUCCUAAUUUCCCAUUAAUGUCCAUUGUAGCUGGAAGAGGCUGCAAUAUAUUCCGUAAGCAUGGAUGAAGAUGUUCAUGCACCAUAUCCCUCAAGAGUUAGGAUGUGUAACAAUUAAACUCUGUAGCAAAAAAACACUUUAUGUUCACAUGGAAAUUGGGACACUUUAGAAUGCAUGGCCUCCCUUUACUCGUUUUAUAAGAGCGAACUGCGAAAUAGCUUGGACAUCAAUUUUUUGCACUGUUUUCAUUUUAAUGAUUUUUUAAUGUGUGCAUUCACCUUGUAUUGUGAUUGUUUUUGUAAUAACAAUUGAAAUUAAAAUAGUUCUGCAUUUGGAUAUCACAAUAAACCAUCAUUUAUUGUGAUCUGAGCAAGCAACAGCAAGCCUCUGGCUUGUGCAUCCUCCAUUCCACUGCUCUGAUGUGGUUGCAAUAAGCUCAGAACUCCCACUUACAGUUUAGCUUUAACUGCAGCUUGUUAUUCUUUCCAAACCCAACAAACCGUGGUUAAUCCUAACUAUUGUUGGUUAGAAACAAGCCAUAGGUUGUUAAGAUGACUUAUUUCACCAAUACAUCCAAGUUGGUGGCCAUCAUUGCCUCCUGUGUGAGUGAGUUCCCUUGUUUAACUACGCACUGUGUGAAGAAGCGCUUCCUUUUAUCUGUCCUGAAUAUUCAGCAUUCAGCUUCAUUGGAGUUCUACUGUGAUGAGAGGAGAAAAAAAUAUUUUUCUUUCCACUUGCUCCAUGUUGUGCAUAAUUUUAUAAACUGCUAUAUUGUCACCUCUUGCCCACUUGCCCACUCUAAACUAAAAAGUUCCAAAUGCUGCAACCUUCCCUCAGUAGAGUUGUUCCUUUAGCAUUUUGGUUGCCCUUUCUUGAACCUUUUCCAACUCUACACUUAUGCAUUAUCAUCUCUUUUCCAUCCAGGAUAGCAUAAAGCAUUAUAAGAAUUAAAGGACAGGCAAAAACAUGCAAGGAGGGUGCAAAGCAGACCUGAGCAUGGUGUGGUGUGUGUGGCUUGGAGUCCUGAGGGCCAGAGGUAUGGGGAGCUGCAUUUGCCCCCCAAGCCUGAGGUCCCCUGCAAUCUAAGAACCAGUGCAGAUGCUAUAAUACCCUCUUCCCCUCUGUGAACCUCUAUUGUACCAUCUCCCCCUUAAACACAUCCACCCCUCUUGAUGAAUACACCCUCCCUAUCAAUUUAGCCUCUCCUCAUAGGGAAGACACAACUGCCCUUUGUCUUUCUGUACUUUCCCCAACUCUGGGAUUUCAAGAAGCAGGACACUGUGUUCUGUAUUACCUGAAGCUUCUGGGUUGAAAAAUAAAUAUUUCCCCAAGCUGAAUAGUAGGAAUAUAAUCAAAGCAGUGUGAUUUCUGUGGUGCAUGGUCUGGAAACCUCAGGAAAUGAACUUUGACUGCCAGUCAUGUUUCCGCAUUUGCUGCUGGCCGUAUCGUGGCAGAGUUAAAGCUUUGAAGGCUGCCUUUUCCCUCACUUAGAUAAGCUUUAAGAGGUGAUCUCCGAAUCAUGUCAAGCACAGAAUGAGGAUUUGAAGAGAGUGACAAACACAAGGCCCGUUGCAAUUCCUGUGAGCCUUUCAAUAACCAGAAUCCCUGGGCUCUUGGCAGAAAGAAAAUCUGUUUUACAGAAACUCUCAAUAGCCCACUUCAGCAUAACAGGAUCUUCUUUGUUUUGUUUUUCAAGUCAGGAUGUGUGAACUCAACCCAGUUACCACAAAAGGAGCACUGUAUUAUAUAUAGAGAGGGGGGGGGUCCUCUCUGGGGGAGUCCAACCCCCCUUUUGGGGGUGUCCAUUCUGCUUCUAGAUUUCUGGAAACAAUUUAGACCAGGGAUUGAGACUAUUUUACAACCUGAGGGCUAUAUUCCCUUUGUGAAGAAGUAAUGGGUGGGGACAGAUGCAAAAGGAGGAUAAGGCCAGAAGAAUGGAGGGUUUUUACUCUUGUACAAAAUCUUGCUUUCUAUCUGAACAAAAAAAUAAUAGUUUUCUACACAUUAACACAUUGCAAGAAGCAUUAUCCAAGUUCAAUAAGAUAUUCCAGCCUGGCAAAAGUAAUGAAGGAGGAAACAGGGCAGGACGAGUGAGAGAUUUGGAGAUUUGAGAUCUGGGAAUGGGACAUAGCCUAGGGAACAUCCCCAGCAGGCCUAGAGAGCUGCAUUUGGGGACUGGGUCUGAGUUCCCACCACCCUUGAUUCAGAACUUUGCCACUCGACUUAAAUUUCAGAGACUGCAGGGAAGUCCUGUAAAGAUGUGAACAAUGCUAAUAGCAAAAGUCUCAAAUAUGAUAAUGAGCACUACAAAAGUUAUUGUUAUAUCAUUUGCUUUGUAGCUUAAUCAUGCCUCCUUGCCCGCCCCCCAUUUAAGUAUUGGGCCAUUCAACUGAAUUACAGAAAUGAUGACAAACUCUCAUUUUCCCAACAACAAUGCAUCUUCUAUCUUUCCAAAAUGGACACUGACAUUUUAUAGACCUUUCUUGGAUUGAAGGUGGGGCAGAGCUGACACCCUGACUCCCUUUUCAUUGUUCCUCAUUGUGGGGUCCUGUGGUGAUUGUGAUUCCAGCGAUCUCUUGGUCCCUUGCUUUGUUUUUUAACCUGUAAAAUAUUUUUAGAGCUUAAACAUCACCAUGCCCUAUCGUCAUGAAGCUAAAUCAUAGUAAAGGCAAAGCUUCCAGAUUUGUGGGUUUAAAAAAAGGGGGGGGAAAGUGCUGAAUAGCAGUUCACAACACUAUCCGUGCUGAUAGUAUUACUGCUUAGAUUAUCUCAGUAAUAGAUGUUGACACUAAACUAUGGUCCCUUUUGGAGUAGGAGCUCAUCAUUAAAGCUCCCAUAGUCACACCCUCAAGGUAAGUCCAAAAAUGUAGACAGCACAGAGCAUAAUAUACAAUUAAUUAGGAUAAGCUAGCAGUCAUAUAUUAGUGGGCUGGUAAAGGAUAGUGUAAUUGUUAGCAUGCUGGAAUUAGGCUGGGAAGAUCUGGAUUCACAUUCCUGAAGACCUGUGGAAGGUGAGUGUAAUCCUAAAUUAUGUGGGAGUAAGCUCCACUGAGGGACGCGGGUGGCGCUGUGGGUAAAACCUCAGUGCCUAGGACUUGCCGAUCGUAUGGUCGGCGGAUCGAAUCCCCACGGGGGGGUGAGCUCCCAUCGUUCAGUCCCAGCUCCUGCCCACCUAGCAGUUCGAAAGCACACCUAAGUGCAAGUAGAUAAAUAGGUAGCGCUUUAUAGUGGGAAGGUAAACAGCGUUUCCGUGUGCUGCUCUGGUACAGGCUCGCCAGAGCAGCUUCGUCACGCUGGCCACGUGACCCGGAAGUGUCUUCAGACAGCGCUGGCCCCCGGCCUCUUAAGCGAGAUGGGCGCACAACCCCAGAGUCGGUCACGACUGGCCCGUACGGGCAGGGGUACAUUUACCUUUACCUUUAAGCUCCACUGACUCAGUAUAUUCUUGGCUUGUCUGCUUGCAUUUGAACAUCUUUUAAAACUUUGCAGCUUACACUGAACUUCCUGGUGCUUGUUUCUGUCCAUAAUACAAACAGGCCUCUGAUAGUCCUUUUUUAAAAAAAAUAAUAAUAUUUAUUACUUUUAUAGAUUAC
rnacentral:lncRNA from 1 species